rnacentral:miRNA from 1 species
UUGUGCCAUUGCUCAAGC